rnacentral:rRNA from 1 species
AAUGAACGUUGGCGGCGUGGAUUAGGCAUGCAAGUCGAGCGGCAGCAGGCCCCGCAAGGGGCGCUGGCGAGCGGCGAAAGGGAGAGUAACACGCGGGUACCUGCCCUCGGGCCCGGGAUAGCUGCGGGAAACUGCAAUUAAUACCGGAUAAUGUCCCUGGACCAAAGGUGUGAUUCCGCCUGAGGAGGGGCCCACGUCCUAUCAGCAAGUUGGUGAGGUAACGGCUCACCAAGGCUACGACGGGUACGGGGUGUGAGAGCAUGUCCCCGCUCAAUGGGACUGAGACACUGCCCAGACACCUACGGGUGGCUGCAGUAGAGAAUCUUCCGCAAUGGGCGAAAGCCUGACGGAGCGACGCCGCGUGCGGGAUGAAGGCCUUCGGGUUGUAAACCGCUGUCAGAGGGGAACAAGUUCAUGGGGGUUCUCCCCUAUGUUUGAGUGAUCCUCAGAGGAAGCGCAGGCUAAGUCCGUGCCAGCAGCCGCAGUAACAC